rnacentral:rRNA from 1 species
ACGAACGCUGGCGGCUGCUUAACACAUGCAAGUCGAACGGAGUGGCGAACGGGUGAGUAAAGCGUGAGCAACCUGCCUAUGACAGUGGGAUAGCCUCGGGAAACCGGGAUUAAUACCGCAUAGUCAUAGAUGGGCUCGCGUCUGAUUAGCUAGUUGGCGAGAUAACAGCUCACCAAGGCGACGAUCAGUAGCCGGUCUGAGAGGAGGAAAGGCCACAUUGGAACUGAGACACGUUGCAAACUCCUACGUGAGGCAGCAGUGUGGAAUAUUGCACAAUGGGGGAAACCCUGAUGCAGCGACGCCGCGGGAACGAAGAAGGUAUUCGUAUCGUAAAUUUCUGUCCUAUGGGAAGCGGUACCAUAGAAGAAAGCUCCGGCUAAAUACGUGCCAGCAGCCGCGGUAAUAC